CCAAUAGCGUAUAUUAAAGUUGUUGCAGUUAAAAAGCUCGUAGUUGAACUUCAGGCCUGUCCAGACGGUCCGCCUUAAUUGGUGUGUACUGUCCUUGGGUGGGUCCUACCUUCUGGCGAAGCGGCAUGGCCUUAAUUGGUUGUGUCGGGGAACCAGGACUUUUACUGUGAAAAAAUUAGAGUGUUCAAAGCAGGCAAAUAUGCUCGAAUACAUUAGCAUGGAAUAAUGGAAUAGGACGAUGGUUCUAUUUUGUUGGUUCUAGGACCGUUGUAAUGAUUAAUAGGGAUAGUUGGGGGCAUUAGUAUUCAAUUGUCAGAGGUGAAAUUCUUGGAUUUAUUGAAGACUAACUACUGCGAAAGCAUUUGCCAAGGAUGUUUUCAUUAAUCAAGAACGAAAGUUAGGGGAUCGAAGACGAUCAGAUACCGUCGUAGUCUUAACCAUAAACUAUGCCGACUAGGAAUCGGGCGAUGUUGACAAAAUGACUCGCUCGGCACCUCAUG
rnacentral:rRNA from 2 species